GAUGAACGCUGGCGGCGUGCCUAAUACAUGCAAGUCGAGCGAACAGACGAGGAGUUUGCUCCUCUGACGUUAGCGGCGGACGGGUGAGUAACACGUGGAUAACCUACCUAUAAGACUGGGAUAACUUCGGGAAACCGGAGCUAAUACCGGAUAAUAUAUUGAACCGCAUGCUUCAAUUGUGAAAGACGGUUUUGCUGUCACUUAUAGAUCGAUCCGCGCCGCAUUAGCUAGUUGGUAAGGUAACGGCCUACCAAGGCAACGAUUCGUAGCCGACCUGAGAGGGUGAUCGGCCACACUGGAACUGAAACACGGUCCAGACUCCUACGGGAGGCAGCAGUAGGGAAUCUUCCGCAAUGGGCGAAAGCUUGACGGAGCAACGCCGCGUGAGUAAUGAAGGUCUUCGGAUCGUAAAACUCUGUUAUUAGGGAAGAACAAAUGUGUAAGUAACUAUGCACGUCUUGACGGUACCUAAUCAGAAAGCCACGGCUAACUACGUG
rnacentral:rRNA from 1 species